CCUACGGGAGGCAGCAGUAGGGAAUCUUUCACAAUGGGCGAAAGCCUGAUGGAGCAACGCCGCGUGCAGGAUGAAGGCCCUCGGGUUGUAAACUGCUUUUAUAAGCGAGAAAGAUGAUGGUAACUUAUGAAUAAGGAUCGGCUAACUACGUGCCAGCAGCCGCGGUCAUACGUAGGAGCCGAGCAUUAUCCGGAGUGACUGGGUGUAAAGAGUUGCGUAGGUGGCAUAAUAAGUAGCUAGUGAAAUCUGGUGGCUCAACAAUUCAGACUAUUAGCUAAACUGUUAAGCUCGAGACCGUUAGAGGUAACUGGAAUUUCUAGUGUAGGGGUGAAAUCCGUAGAUAUUAGGAAGAACACCAAUGGCGUAGGCAGGUUGCUGGGACGGUUCUGACACUAAGGCACGAAAGCGUAGGGAGCAAACAGGAUUAGAUACCCGAGUAGUC
rnacentral:rRNA from 1 species